AUUUGUCUGGACAUGUUCAGGA
rnacentral:miRNA from 1 species